rnacentral:rRNA from 1 species
GACGAACGCUGGCGGCGUGCUUAACACAUGCAAGUCGAACGGAAAGGCCCCUUUGGGGGUACUCGAGUGGCGAACGGGUGAGUAACACGUGAGUAACCUGCCCUUGACUUCGGGAUAACUUCAGGAAACUGGGGCUAAUACCGGAUAGGAAUCCUUGCUGCAUGGUGGGGGUUGGAAAGCUUCGGCGGUUUUGGAUGGACUCGCGGCUUAUCAGCUUGUUGGUGGGGUAGUGGCUUACCAAGGCUUUGACGGGUAGCCGGCCUGAGAGGGCGACCGGCCACAUUGGGACUGAGAUACGGCCCAGACUCCUACGGGAGGCAGCAGUGGGGAAGAUUGCACAAUGGGCGGGAGCCUGAUGCAGCAACGCCGCGUGCGGGAUGACGGCCUUCGGGUUGUAAACCGCUUUCAGCAGGGGCGAAGCUUGUGGUGACGGUACCUGCAGAAGAAGCACCGGCUAACUACGUG